CUACCCGUUAGUGACUGCGACUCUCACUCCUGGCGGAGGACACCGGUAGCCGGGCAGUUUGACUGGGGCGGUACGCGCUCGAAAAGAUAUCGAGCGCGCCCAAAGAUUUCCUCACGCGAGUCGGAAACUCGUGGAAGAGCGCAAGAGCAAACGGAAGUCUGACAGUGACAUUCCCAACGAGUGUCGCUGACGCGAAAGCGUGGUCUAGCGAACCUACGAGGUUCAUUCAUGGGACCCGUAGAUGACAGAAAAGCUACCUUAGGGAUAACAGAGUCGUCACCGGCAAGAGCACAUAUCGACCCGGUGGCUUGCUACCUCGAUGUCGGUUCCCUCCAUCCUGCCCGUGCAGAAGCGGGCAAGGGUGAGGUUGUUCGCCUAUUAAAGGAGGUCGUGAGCUGGGUUUAGACCGUCGUGAGACAGGUCGGCUGCUAUCUAUUGGGGGUGUUUAGGAACAUGACGUGAACGUUCGUAUAGUACGAGAGGAACUACGAAUGGGUGCCACUGGUGUACCGGUUGUCCGAGAGGGCAGUUGCCGGGCAGCUACGCACCGCAGGGUAAGAGCUGAAAGCAUCUAAGCUCGAAACCUACACGGAAAAGAAGUUCCACUGAGGUCACUCGUAGAAGACGAGUUCGAUAGACUCGGGGUGUACGCAACGAGGCAACGAGUUGUUCAGCCCGCGAGCACUAACAGACCAAGCCACAUUCAUA
rnacentral:ncRNA from 1 species